GACGAACGCUGGCGGCGUGCUUAACACAUGCAAGUCGAGCGGUAAGGCCCUUCGGGUACGACGAGCGGCGAACGGGUGAGUAACACGUGGGUGACCUGCCCUCAGCUCUGGGAUAAGCCUGGGAAACCGGGUCUAAUACCGGAUAUGACUCCAUGACGCAUGUUGUGGGGUGGAAAGCCUUGUGCGGCUGAGGAUGGGCCCGCGGCCUAUCAGCUUGUUGGUGGGGGAUGGCCUACCAAGGCUUCGAUCAGUAGCCGGCCUGAGAGGGUGAUCGGCCACACUGGGACUGAGACACGGCCCAGACUCCUACGGGAGGCAGCAGUGGGGAAUAUUGGACAAUGGGCGCAAGCCUGAUCCAGCAACGCCGCGUGGAGGAUGAAGGUCUUCGGAUCGUAAACUCCUGUCAGGCGGGACGAAGGUAGC
rnacentral:rRNA from 1 species